GACGAACGCUGGCGGCGUGCUUAACACAUGCAAGUCGAACGGAAAGGCCCUGCUUUUGUGGGGUGCUCGAGUGGCGAACGGGUGAGUAACACGUGAGUAACCUGCCCUUGUCUUUGGGAUAACUUCAGGAAACUGGGGCUAAUACCGGAUAGGAGCUCUUGCUGCAUGGUGGGGGUUGGAAAGUUUCGGCGGUUGGGGAUGGACUCGCGGGUUAUCAGUGUGAUGGUGGGGGAGUGGAUUACCAAGGCUUUGACGGGUAGCCGGCCUGAGAGGGUGACCGGCCACAUUGGGACUGAGAUACGGCCCAGACUCCUACGGGAGGCAGCAGUGGGGAAUAUUGCACAAUGGGCGGAAGCCAGAUGCAGCAACGCCGCGUGCGGGAUGACGGCCUUCGGGUUGUAAACCGCUUUCGCCUGUGACGAAGCGUGAGUGACGGUAAUGGGUAAAGAAGCACCGGCUAACUACGUG
rnacentral:rRNA from 1 species